rnacentral:rRNA from 1 species
UGGGGAAUAUUGCGCAAUGGGGGGAACCCUGACGCAGCCAUGUCGCGUGAAUGAAGAAGGCCUUAGGGUUGUAAAGUUCUUUCGGUAUUGAGGAAGGUUGAUGUGUUAAUAGCACAUCAAAUUGACGUUAAAUACAGAAGAAGCACCGGCUAACUCCGUGCCAGCAGCCGCGGUAAUACGGAGGGUGCGAGCGUUAAUCGGAAUAACUGGGCGUAAAGGGCACGCAGGCGGUUAUUUAAGUGAGGUGUGAAAGCCCCGGGCUUAACCUGGGAAUUGCAUUUCAGACUGGGUAACUAGAGUACUUUAGGGAGGGGUAGAAUUCCACGUGUAGCGGUGAAAUGCGUAGAGAUGUGGAGGAAUACCGAAGGCGAAGGCAGCCCCUUGGGAAUGUACUGACGCUCAUGUGCGAAAGCGUGGGGAGCAAACAGGAUUAGAUACCCUGGUAGUCCACGCUGUAAACGCUGUCGAUUUGGGGGUUGGGGUUUAACUCUGGCGCCCGUAGCUAACGUGAUAAAUCGACCGCCUGGGGAGUACGGCCGCAAGGUUA